rnacentral:rRNA from 1 species
UACGUAGGGCGCAAGCGUUGUCCGGAAUUAUUGGGCGUAAAGAGCUCGUAGGUGGUCUGUUGCGUCCGCUGUGAAAACCCAGGGCUUAACCCUGGGCUGGCAGUGGAUACGGGCAGGCUAGAGGUAGGUAGGGGAGAAUGGAAUUCCCGGUGUAGCGGUGAAAUGCGCAGAUAUCGGGAAGAACACCCGUGGCGAAGGCGGCACUCUGGGACGGUACUGACGCUGAGACGCGAAAGCGUGGGGAGCGAACAGG